UAGGGAAUCUUCCGCAAUGGACGCAAGUCUGACGGAGCAACGCCGCGUGAGUGAAGAAGGAUUUCGGUUCGUAAAACUCUGUUGUUAGAGAAGAACAGCGCAUAGAGUAACUGUUAUGCGUGUGACGGUAUCUAACCAGAAAGCCACGGCUAACUACGUGCCAGCAGCCGCGGUAAUACGUAGGUGGCAAGCGUUGUCCGGAUUUAUUGGGCGUAAAGCGAGCGCAGGCGGUCAAUUAAGUCUGAUGUGAAAGCCCCCGGCUCAACCGGGGAGGGUCAUUGGAAACUGGUUGACUUGAGUGCAGAAGAGGAGAGUGGAAUUCCAUGUGUAGCGGUGAAAUGCGUAGAUAUAUGGAGGAACACCAGUGGCGAAGGCGACUUUCUGGCCAUAAUCUGACGCUGAGGUACGAAAGCGUGGGUAGCAAACAGG
rnacentral:rRNA from 1 species